rnacentral:lncRNA from 1 species
UUAUGCCAAAAUAUCAUUGAUCAAAUUCACCACAAAAUGAGCAUAAUACGUAAUGCUUCCAUACCAAACCUAACAUUUCCAUCUCAAGCCAUAUCAUAUAGCUUGAUCAAACCCCAUAAUUCAUACCACAUUCACCAACAUAAGUGACCAAAUAAUUCAACCCAUAUACUAGCUUAUACAUGCCAUAUUUACAAUAUUUACAUAAGAUCCAAAAGUAUCGAAUAUCGUCUAGAUAGUGUGAUAGCAAAUCUCUGACCUAGUCCGAAAUCGAGCUAACUUUUGAAAUCUAUAGGACAUAAGAAAAUGAACGAAGUAAGCAUUAAGCUUAGUAAGCCGUAUAAUAUAGAAUUAAACUUACCAAUUUAACAUUAAGCAUUAAAGUAAUUAAAAUCAACUCAUUUGUCCACAAAGCCUAUUCAUAUCAUCAUUCACAAGUUAGUCAUUUCACCUCCAUAUAUUCAUCCGUUCAUAAAGAUGAAACCAAACAUAUAACAUUCUUUUAACAUCCAAAUUCAUUCCUUAAGUCAUAUAAUCAUAUAUCAUAAAAUCAAUCCAAGUCAUAUAAUCAUAUAUCAUAAAAUCAAUCCAAGUCAUAUAGCUAAAUAUAUCAUGUCAUCUCUAUAAUUCAUAUAUUCAUAAAACAAAUAAUCCAAGUAACUUAUAAACCAUGAAAAUCAUAUAACAUUUAUAUCAGUUCAUUCCUAUUCGUAUAACCUGUAAUUCAUCAGUAAUAACAGAAAUUUAUCCAUAUCAACAUUAACUUAUACAUAUCAACAGUAUUUCAUCCAUAUAAUUAUAUAGCUUAUUUAUAUGAUCAGUAAUAGUAAUUAAACCUAUUAGAACAUCGAGGGAUACACGGGUGAUACACUAUGAGUGUAUUAAUCAGAAAUCAGUCAAUUCCUCAUCAUUUACGCUCUUUCGAGCCAUGAUCAGUUUGCUCCUCUUGAGCAGGUAAACGGUAAGCUCUAUCAAGCUGAACGGUAAGCUCCGUAGAGCUGAAACAGUAAGCUCAUAAGAGCUGAAACGGUAAGCUCAUACGAGCUGUGGUGAGUCCGCAACAAAUGCAGGAGCUGGACCGAACAGUAACCCUAGUGACAGGUCACUUGUAUCCGAUGAUUUUCUAAAGUUUGAACAGGGCUCGGUAUUAUCCAAUUUCAUCAUUUAAGCAUUCAAUAAUCAAUAACUAAAUUUCUCAAAUCAUAUAUAUAUAUUCAAUUUAAUUACAUACAUACAUACUAUUAAAUACUCAAAUUGCAUAUUCAUUGCAUAUUAUUAUACCAAAUCCAUGUAACAUAUAUAGCAUUUGUAACAUUUUAUUUUCAUUCCUGUAAACAGAAAUAUAAUUGUAUAUCGAUAAUUUAAAUUUCAAAUGGAUUAUUCGUUCAACUUAUAUACAUUCAUUUUUGGACAUUUACAAAUAUUUAAUAAUUUGAUUCUAGCUAUACAAACUUACCUCGUAUUGCUCGGAUAAACCGUCGUCUACUCGUCUACUUUUCGUUUCCCCCGAUCUAGUUCCGGUAAUUGUUUAUCUUGAUCUAAAUAUUAUCAAAUUCGGUAAUUUCAGUAACUAUUCAAUACAAUUUAAUCCACAAUUCAUAUAUUUGGCAAUUUACACAUUCUCCCCUAUACUUUUGACUACUUUGCAAAUUAGUCUUUAUUACACAAAAUGGCAAAUUUAUGCAUUUAGGCCAUAACCCAUGCAUAGCCGAAUCUUUAUGACAAUACUAGCAGCCCAUAUUUCUAUUUAUUUCACACUUUCAACCAAAAUAUUUCAACAUUUUACAAAUUCCUCAAUUAAAAUCCCUAAUUGACAUUUUUGUCAAAAAUCUCUUUACAAAACAUAUAUAUCAAACACCUAGCUUGCAUAAUUCAUCAUCAAACAUCAUAAAACUCAUGGAUUCAUCAAUGGAAUUUUUCAAAAUCACUAGCAAACUCAAAAAUUAAGGCACGGGCUAGCUAGGACUCAAAGCAACGAUCACAAAAAUAUAAAAAUCAUCAAAAACCAAGCAAAAUUGCUUACCUAAUCAAGCUACCAAGUUGCCGAAUAUCAAAACCCUAUUUUUAGCUUUCUUCCUU